CUGGCUCUUCUGUUUUAGGCCCGCCUGUUUGAUGUUGUAAACUGUUAAUAAAAGGCUUUGCCAUGAAGGGAUCUGUGGGAGAAGGUGAUGGCUUUCCAAGCCAGGAUCUUCUCUCCACCCGGCACACACUGACGUCACAAAAUCCUGUCUCUAUGUUGAUCAUUUUCCUUUUAAUCUUUUAAACUCACAUUUCUCUGGAUUAAAAACCCAACAUUUUUGGUGCUGAAAACCCGGGAGUCAAGAUCCAAUUGUCCAGGACUGUGCGAGACCAAGGCCAAGAAACUGUCAACAGCCGUCCACCCUUUGCCGGACGGAGCCAAUAGGUUGGUCCAGCCCUGCCCUGGACAUCCUGGUGACGACUCAAGCUGAGGACUGAUCUGCACAGAAACGGAAGGCCUGAAGCCUGGAGACCGAGUGCUGAUUAAAAUCAUCAAAAGGAAAACUUGGAAAGCUCCGAGGUGGGAAGGACCCUACAAAGUGCAACUAACAACCCCCACUGCCGUGAAAAUCCAGGAGAGAGACACUUGGAUCCACCAGAGUCAUUGUAAACUGAUUAAAAACUUUCCACAGCAAAAAAGCCCAGUUACUUUCACAGGGACCCCACGACUAAGGUAUAGAUCUGUGGUGAAGUCCAGCUUCAAAGGGGUUUGGUUUUUUUAGGACCACUCGUCUCAACGCUGGUGAA